AAGCAGAUUUUCCCCCAGAGCAUCCAGAUAAGAACUCAGUCCACUCAACAUCUUCAGCUUUGUGAUAUUCCAGGCAUAUUGUGCUGAACUUCUGACUUACAGAACUAAUCCAGAAAGCCUGGAAGAUACUUUUCCAAGAAUUUAUUUUCUGUUUAGAUUCUACCCCUGAAAGUCAGUCCUGAAAGGAUUAUAAAAGCAAGAAAGAAACAUGGACUCUAAGAAUUAACAACAGUGUGGGAAGCCACGGAGGAGAUUUAUGACUACCCUAAAUUGGUUUGUGUUUGGAUGGAUGACUAUUUCCUGCUCUUUAUUACUAGAAAUUGGCAGCAACAUCUCAGAUUGGAUAAUGGUACUGGUGGAAUAAUUACCAGAAAGAAAAAAACAUCCCCACUAAAGUGAUGAAAACAUGUACAGAUUGUCCAACCUUUUGCUUUUGUACCACUUCCCCUUCCAGAUGUCAGGGUUGUGAUUUAUUUCUCCCUAAGAGUUUAAAAAUAAAACUCUCAUCAUAAAAUUUGCCUGAUACUGAUGAAAAAUAAGAUGUAGUAAUUUAGGCUUUCAGACUAGACUCAGAAAUAGAAUCCAUUAAUAUUUUUUUACUAGGGAUCCAUUUAAAAACAUCUAAACAUGAUGAAAAUGAAAGAAUGGAGAGAAAUAUGCCAGGUAAAUAUAAACUUAAAAGAAAGCUGGGGAAACUAUCAAUAUCUGACAAAAAUAGAUUUUCAUGUAAAAAAAUGUGGCACACAUACACCAUGGAAUACUAUGCAGCCAUAAAAAAGGAUGAGUUCAUGUCCUUUGUAGGGACAUGGAUGAAGCUGGAAACCAUCAUUCUCAGCAAACUAUUGCAAGGACAAAAAAACAUACACCACAUGUUCUCACUCACAGGUGGGAAUUGAACAAUGAGAACACAUGGACACAGGAAGGGGA
rnacentral:lncRNA from 1 species